UGGGGAAUAUUGCGCAAUGGGGGGAACCCUGACGCAGCCAUGCCGCGUGAAUGAAGAAGGCCUUCGGGUUGUAAAGUUCUUUCGGUAUUGAGGAAGGUUGAUGUGUUAAUAGCACAUCAAAUUGACGUUAAAUACAGAAGAAGCACCGGCUAACUCCGUGCCAGCAGCCGCGGUAAUACGGAGGGUGCGAGCGUUAAUCGGAAUAACUGGGCGUAAAGGGCACGCAGGCGGUUAUUUAAGUGAGGUGUGAAAGCCCCGGGCUUAACCUGGGAAUUGCAUUUCAGACUGGGUAACUAGAGUACUUUAGGGAGGGGUAGAAUUCCACGUGUAGCGGUGAAAUGCGUAGAGAUGUGGAGGAAUGCCGAAGGCGAAGGCAGCCCCUUGGGAAUGUACUGACGCUCAUGUGCGAAAGCGUGGGGAGCAAACAAGAUUAGAUACCCUGGUAGUCCACGCUGUAAACGCUGUCGAUUUGGGGGUUGGGGUUUAACUCUGGCGCCCGUAGCUAACGUGAUAAAUCGACCGCCUGGGGAGUACGGCCGCAAGGUUA
rnacentral:rRNA from 1 species